rnacentral:rRNA from 1 species
UACGAAGGGGGCUAGCGUUGCUCGGAAUCACUGGGCGUAAAGGGCGCGUAGGCGGCGUUUUAAGUCGGGGGUGAAAGCCUGUGGCUCAACCACAGAAUGGCCUCGAUACUGGGACGCUUGAGUAUGGUAGAGGUUGGUGGAACUGCGAGUGUAGAGGUGAAAUUCGUAGAUAUUCGCAAGAACACCGGUGGCGAAGGCGGCCAACUGGACC